GAGACCCAAGUCCUUUGCUUCUAAUCAAUCAAUUAAUUAAAUAUCUAACUAAUUAAUUAAAUUAAUAUUUAAUUAAUUAGUUUUUAAUACAUAAUCAAACUUAAUUAACAUAAUAAUCAAACUUAAUUAAUGACCGUAUUAGCCUGAAGAAAAAAUUGCCUUUUUUCUUGUAGGAUCUUCCAGAUUUCAUCAAAUCUGGGGUGG
rnacentral:lncRNA from 1 species